rnacentral:rRNA from 1 species
GAUGAACGCUAGCUACAGGCUUAACACAUGCAAGUCGAGGGGCAGCAUGAACUUAGCUUGCUAAGUUUGAUGGCGACCGGCGCACGGGUGAGUAACACGUAUCCAACCUGCCGAUGACUCGGGGAUAGCCUUUCGAAAGAAAGAUUAAUAACCGAUGGCAUAGUUCUUCCGCAUGGUAGAACUAUUAAAGAAUUUCGGUCAUCGAUGGGGAUGCGUUCCAUUAGGUUGUUGGCGGGGUAACGGCCCACCAAGCCUUCGAUGGAUAGGGGUUCUGAGAGGAAGGUCCCCCACAUUGGAACUGAGACACGGUCCAAACUCCUACGGGAGGCAGCAGUGAGGAAUAUUGGUCAAUGGACGAGAGUCUGAACCAGCCAAGUAGCGUGAAGGAUGACUGCCCUAUGGGUUGUAAACUUCUUUUAUACGGGAAUAAAGUGAGGCACGUGUGCCUUUUUGUAUGUACCGUAUGAAUAAGGAUCGGCUAACUCCGUG